rnacentral:misc_RNA from 1 species
GAAAUGCGAUAAGUAAUGUGAAUUGCAGAAUUCAGUGAAUCAUCGAAUCUUUGAACGCACAUUGCGCCCAUUAGUAUUCUAGUGGGCAUGCCUGUUCGAGCGUCAUUUCAACCCCUAAGCACAGCUUAUUGUUGGGCGUCUACGUCUGUAGUGCCUCAAAGACAUUGGCGGAGCGGCAGCAGUCCUCUGAGCGUAGUAAUUCUUUAUCUCGCUUCUGUUAGGCGCUGCCCCCCCGGCCGUAAAACCCCCAAUUUUUUCUGGUUGACCUCGGAUCAGGUAGGAAUACCCGCUGAACUUAA